rnacentral:rRNA from 1 species
UACGUAGGGCGCAAGCGUUGUCCGGAAUUAUUGGGCGUAAAGAGCUCGUAGGUGGUGUGUCGCGUCUGCCGUGAAAAUCCGGGGCUCAACCCCGGACUUGCAGUGGGUACGGGCAGACUAGAGUGUGGUAGGGGAGACUGGAAUUCCUGGUGUAGCGGUGAAAUGCGCAGAUAUCAGGAGGAACACCGGUGGCGAAGGCGGGUCUCUGGGCCGAUAUUGACGCUGAUGAGCGAAAGCUAGGGGAGCAAACGGG